rnacentral:rRNA from 1 species
UACGAAGGGGGCUAGCGUUGUUCGGAAUCACUGGGCGUAAAGCGCACGUAGGCGGAUUGUUAAGUCGGGGGUGAAAUCCUGAGGCUCAACCUCAGAACUGCCUUCGAUACUGGCAAUCUCGAGUCCGGAAGAGGUUGGUGGAACAGCUAGUGUAGAGGUGAAGUUCGUAGAUAUUAGCUAGAACACCAGUGGCGAAGGCGGCCAACUGGUCCGGUACUGACGCUGAGGUGCGAAAGCGUGGGGAGCAAACAGG